GAUGAACGCUGGCGGCGUGCCUAAUACAUGCAAGUCGAGCGAACGGACGAGAAGCUUGCUUCUCUGAUGUUAGCGGCGGACGGGUGAGUAACACGUGGAUAACCUACCUAUAAGACUGGGAUAACUUCGGGAAACCGGAGCUAAUACCGGAUGAUAUUUUGAACCGCAUGGUUCAAAAGUGAAAGACGGUCUUGCUGUCACUUAUAGAUGGAUCCGCGCUGCAUUAGCUAGUUGGUAAGGUAACGGCUUACCAAGGCAACGAUGCAUAGCCGACCUGAGAGGGUGAUCGGCGACACUGGAGCUGAGACAGGGUCCAGACUCCUACGGGAGGCAGCAGUAGGGAAUCUUCCGCAAUGGGCGAAAGCCUGACGGAGCAACGCCGCGUGAGUGAUGAAGGUCUUCGGAUCGUAAAAAUCUGUUAUUAGGGAAGAACAUAUGUGUAAGUAAAUGUGCACAUCUUGACGGUACCUAAUCAGAAAGCCACGGCUAACUACGUG
rnacentral:rRNA from 1 species